AGAAAUCUUAGUCAAUUAAUCAAUUGAAUUUAAAGUGAUUAAUUAAUCAAAUGGAUAUUAAUUUGCAUAUGACUUAAAGCAAUAGGUAUUAAGAAAAAGGCAGACUUUCAUUGUUUUCAGAUGAUGCAUGCAUGUGUCACCACAGUCACCAUCUCAAAAGAAGCAUUUGCUCCUAUGGGAGAGAGAAAAUGCCUUUUCUAAGGAAGCACCUGCCAUCUGCAGUUUUUAUGCCCAGCUGCAUUGGACUUCCUUCUGACCCUAGACGUACAGAGAAGGGCAAGGACUCUUUCAUAAGGACCCCUGGGUAUGUCACAAUGCUCAUUUUUUUGCUUCAGGUUCUGAAGAAAAAUUACUGUGCAGAAAGUGAUGACAAAACUCUGUUCAGGCCAAGGAUAUCCUAGGAACCGUCUCGUUCCUCCUGCCCGUCCUCCAUACGUAUGCAUCAGCUGACACAAUCUCUGCACGGUUGCCAAAGCCCUGAGCUCUCUCUUCUUGUUCAACAAACUCUUGGCAAGAAAAACUGCUUCCAAUAAUGCUGGUCUCAGUGACGUAGUCAGCCCUGUUUAACAAGUUUAAGAGAAAAAGGUUGAGAAAGAAAUGGAAAGUCAGAGGCCUUCAAAACUAAAGCCUGAUAUCCGUAAUCCUCUAGGCCGGGACUGACAUUUUCUUUAUAUGGUCAUGAUACAGUAAGACUGCUUGCCAAGUUUCUAUCUAGGCUUCUGAGUCAAGCUGGUAGUACAGUACCAUAAUUCACAGGAAUUCUUCCACUCCCUACCCCCACCUCUGACGGAAAGCAUGCAUUUUGCAGAGGGAAAAGCUACUUUGGGACAACAGUUGAAAAAAGGGGUGAGCACUCCCUGUGGCUUCAAAUCCCUUCACUCAAAACAGACUUUUCUCUUAAAAACAAGUAAAAGACAAUCCAGAUUUUCUUAACUUACAUUCACGUGUAACUGUAACAUCUAGCUAAGGCCGGAAAAAGGAGCUUAAGAAAACCCUGCUUCUGCAUAACACGCCUCUAUUUUGUUUUGUGACUAACCGAUUGUAUAUUUAUUUAGUGACUGAGAGAACACUGCAAAUACUUGGCUAGCUGUAGAACUUCAGGGGUGGUGCCUGAGUCAGUUCCUUUUCCUUCUGCAGCUAUUUAAAGUGGCAGUAAUUAUUAUUUUUAAAGACACCCCCCCCCCCAAAUAAUUUAAAAGGUAUUUUUGCACCUGAUUUUAACAUCAGUUUUGUUUUGUGAUGUUCAAAUUAAGCCUGACAAUAUACACAAUAGUGGAUCUGAUAGUGGAUUUGUUUCUGUAAAUGCCAAGUUCACAUCCUAGAAGAGGCAAGUGUCUUCUGUUCCUUUUCAGGGAAAAGCUAUACAGUACUGCAGCGUUUCUCAACCGCUGUUCCGUGGCACACUAGUGUGCCGCGAGACGCUGGCUGGUGUGCCGCGACGUGCGGCGACGAGAAGGGCGAUUUGCAUUGUCACGUGCCUGGCGGCCGCCAAUAAACACCACCAACCCGCCGGAAAGCAAUAUUUCUCCUCCUCUUUCCCAAAGCUCAGUGCAAACGAGCCUGGCAGCCGCCAAUACACAACGCUAACCCGCCGGAAAGCAAUAUUUGGCAAGUGUUUCUUACAGUCAUAAUUAUAAUAUAGGGCGGCACAGAGUUAAUUUUUUUAACCUUUUUAAUGGUGGUGUGCCUCGUGAUUUUUUUCACGGAACAAGUGUGCCGUGGCCCAAAAAAGGUUGAGAAACACUGCAGUACUGUACUGCUUAUCAACUGGUCUGUGUCCGGAAAGGUUCAUUAGAAGCUCAUGGCAUACAGCUAUGAAUUAGGUGUUUGACUUGUGAACUUAGGAAUUCACAUUUUAAAACCUAAAACAUCUCCCUAAGCUACCUUCUGUCUAGGCCAGGACAUAAAAACACUUAAGUCAAGACUGUUUUAGCUACAUGUGACAUACAAAUAGAUUAGCAGCUGAGAGAGAUGCAGGCAGGCCAAAAGGAAAGAGGCAGACCAAGAAAAACUACAAGUGCCGAGGAAAGAUAGGUGGGAGACCAGGAAGGCUGUGCAGACACAUACACAGAUAUGUGCAGAGUGAAUGCGUAUCUUUCUUCCUCAACAUAGAUGUACCUUUCUGUGUACUUGCAUGACCUUUCUUAGAAAUCAGUUUUAGUGCUUGAAAAUGUGUCAACUGGUUUCACCAGUGAUACAUGGGCGUUUCUUACUGAACCUGGGAGUGCUUCCAAACUUCAAGCUCUACCUCUACUUAUUUGCCCGCUAGGGUGAACACACCAAUUCUGCCUGCUCCCCAUUCUGUCCAUUGAUUGCCUUUCUUGAACUCGCAACAUUUUCAAACACUUCAUUCAGACACUGCAUCUUUCCCACUGUUCGGCACCCUCCAAUUUCAUCACUGUUUUCCUAACAGUUUUCUUUAAAUCUUGGAACUUGUUUCCCACUUAGUCUUAAUUCAUUAAUUCAUUGUUAUCCUAAUUCAUCUGCUUUUCUAGUGUGUCCCCGCUAGCUCCCCGCCCUGCACUGUGGCUUGUGCUGCCUGAGGAGGCACAGCAAUGGCGCCCCUCCCUAAGUCAAGGUGGAGCGUACCUAAAGCUGGCACCUUUUGGCACCUUAAGACAGAAAAUCCCACACAUGCCUCUUCCUGGGAGUAAAAAUACAACAAGAAUAAAAUAAAUAAAUGUUCAAGUUGUCGCUAGCCUUUCAUGACACUCAAAAACUCGCUCUAGGAUUGGCUACACUUUUGCUUUCCUGAAUGGAGUCAGACAGAAAUAUGAUGAAUCGGUGUAAGGGACAUACGCAGGAUGGGCAUUGUGAGGAUGAGAUAGUCAGGAGACAAAUAGCAGAGAGCAAGACAAAAACAUAGUGAGGGAAACUGUAACUGCAUACGCACCAAAUGUUUAAAGCACAUUCUCCCCCACCCCACAAUAAUUCUGGGAACAGUAGUUCCCAGAAGAACUACUCUGAGAACUACAAUUCCCAGCACCCCAAACAAUCUACUGUACGGUUCCAGGAGUCUUUGGAGAGGGACAAAAUAGACUGGAAAAUAAAAACUCUUUAGCCCAAAUCGACCGAUGCUGACCUAGUUACUAACAGGCUUUUGGUCUCCUGAUAAGUAAAAGUGUAGGUGGUCUCUUGCAGGGUUUUCUGAUGAUGGGUGACGGGUCCUGAGGUGAGGGACUGGUGGACCCUGGCUGCAUACCGCAGCCCAUUUUAAGGGCUCUCUCCCCCAUCCUGGACUGAAUUGACAGUUGGCAUUUUACGGCCAAUCAGACCACAGGCCACGCUUGGCGGAUAACUCAUGUGACACCUUGCUGGGAGAUGGGAAGAUGUAGAUAGUCCCCUGCGGGCAGGCAAAUAAUGUUUAGCUCUGGUGGAAAUGGAAGCCCACUGCACCUAGUCUGGGCUCUGGAUUCAGGAGCUGGUUGGAGUAUGCGUUUGCCUCACUUGAGCAAAAUGGAGGGGUAAGAGAGCAGGGCUUUUCUGCACAGUACCAAACUCAUAUUCCUCAAUAGUGUGGUUCCCAGAUGUUUUAAAUAAAUAACCGUAUUUGCACUUAAAAAACCAAAUUUACUCUGGCCUAAGCUUUCCAGUGUAGAAUAAUGAAGGAGAUUCACUGAGGAGGGGAUCUCAGUUCUCUGAGGGGGAAAAUGGAUUUUAUAAUCUUUUAAUUAAUUCAAAUGUAUACUUUUUAAAAGGAAAAAUUAUUCUGGAAAAGAAUCCAGUUAUUUCAAUAUUUUAAAAACCGGCAUUUUCUUGGAACAAUUUGCACACUUACUUUCCUGAACUGGCAUACACAUCUCCAUGGUGUAACGACGAGUAACAACGAAAGGAUACGUUCCCCCCACCCCCCAUUUUCGGCUCCUUUCCCUCCUCUACUGUGUUAGCACAAGGAGUACUCUGUUGUAGGAUUAAUGUCACUGUGGCAUUAAGAGAAAAGCCACCCCCAUAGCCCAGAAAAAAUUGGAUCGUCCAUACAGGUCUUUAACUUCAUUAGUCACUUACAACAGGAUUAGAAAGAGGAGCACAGUGAACCAAGGCAUAGCCUUGCCUGUCCUAGCUGAAAUCUUGUUUUCGAACUGACCGCGCAGAAAUGAUUAGAUGCGGAAACCAAAGGAAAUUCUUUUCUAGAACAAGGAGUUAAUCUGCAGCGUCCCAGUUUCGCAAUGAAAUUGAUGUAAGGCCUAAAUGACUACAUCUGCAGAACAUUUUGUUUUCUGUGUGAUACAAAAUUUCACCACAUAAAGAUAGGGUGCUAUGACUUGCAGGCUGUGAAAUGCUGUAAACACAGGUAAGAAAAUAAAAAUAAAAUAAAAUUGUAGGUAAAUAAAAUGCAACCCUCUGAUAAAAGGGAAGUGUCUCCUGGAUCUUCUCAAGUGCUUUCUAUAAUAUGAUGGUGCAACAGCAGAUAGUACAGGCAUUCCGCAUUUGCCCUGUUCUCAUUAUCGCUACUGUGCAUGGUGGGUGGCUAUGAAAAACUGAACCCAUGUGCAGAAUUUAGCCUGGGUCAGCUCUUGAUACUCCACUGCCACACAUGAUCAUUCAUACUGCAUGCCAAAUGUUAAUCUGCACUGAAAUGAGUCUGUGACACCAGAUGUAAACAUCCUUGGCAUAGGUUGGCAUAGCUGGACUUCCACGGGCCCAGCCUUUCCUGUUAAACUACAUGCCGCAAACACCACCCAGACAGGCCCUCUGCCUCAUAAACUCUGCCGAUCACCUAUAGAUCCAUUAUGUCUGCUUCUUGACAUUUUGUUUUUUUAAAAAAAUUGCCACAGAUCCCUAAUACAAAAUGCUCAUGUGACUUGUGAAAUAUUGAAGUGCAUGUUUAGAGAUCACAUUUCACUUUAAAAUACACACAAGAGGCAAGAUAUUGCCACUCCUGUGUGUUCAAGGUCUUAAUGUCCAGCAUACUAUUCGUGUGUAUUUUGUAUGUAUACAAAUAUAAAAGGUCAAUGGCCCUUAAUUUUUGAUAGGAAGCUCCUGAUCCAUUCUCAUGGAUGGGAGCAUGGUGCAUGGAUAGUAUUUCAGUAUCUCUUUGCUGAUUCAUGCCUACGGACCUAACCAAAUUUCCACUGGUCUCAUUUCCCAAGUGUUCAUUUUUCAUUUCUUGAGCAUAGCUUCAUGCUGACUCACUCUUUAUCUAGUUCCUGUGUCCUUUCCCCAGCCUUUCUAAGUAUGUGCUUCUUCUACCGCUUGAUUCUUUAUCUGCUCAGUUUCUAUGUAGCCAAAUAAAUUAUUUUUGUAAUCUAUAAGCCUUGCUUAGAUGCUAGCCAAAUUUAUUCCACACACCCCACUCUUCAUCUUUUUUUCUUUUAUAUUUGCAAUACACGCAAAACACCUUGCAGUUAUUAACUACAACAAAACACUGGGAUAUCUCUUCUUUCCAGGAUGAGAGGGCCUGUAUCAGUUGUACCCUCUGUUUCUGGGAAGUUAGUUUCCAUGAGGGAAACUGGCUCUUGUGUUAUGGAGACGGUGAGGGGAUUGUAAGUAUAUCCUCCUAGUACACACAGCUGUUAUGGGAAAGGAACCCAAUACUGAAUUCUCCCACACCCAGAAACACAGAUUUUAAGUAUAAAAAUGAAUAAAGAUAAAUAAAGAAGAGGUUCACAAAUACUGCUGGGAUUUUAAAAUACUCAUGUUUUGUUUCCAAAUGAACCUUAUGUCUUAAAAUAAAUCAAGUGCAGUUGUAUAUCAAAAGACUUUAAUUCUGUUCUUAUCUGUACAGGGCAGUUCUUUCCACAAGUCACCAUGUUUGCCUUAUAAGUUCCUGCAGGUCUCGUUUAUCUUCUUACUCUUUUAAGAGACCAAGCAGGAAAAACAAUGAUGAAAUUAUUUUAUAUCCCUCCUUUCUGUGUGCUAGUCCUGCGAGUGUUUCCUAGAUUUAGGUCAAGGUUGUUGGUAAAUAUUAAUGUCACCGGAAAUGCUUUUGAGGAACUCUUGUGGAAGGUCAAAUUGCAUAAGUAUCCUGAUGCAGGAUCUAGCUCCACUGAACCUGCAGCCUGGCUUGACCCCCCUUCCCCUUCCCAGCAGCCCAAUAAGUUGUACCUGCUCCCCCUUCUCCCAAUGCAUUCGAACUUCUGUUCCUCACAUUGUGGCAGCUCACUUCUGGAGGGUGCUGUUACGCUUUCCAAAAUAACCUAAGCAUGGGGUAAAAUGGGAAAUCAGAAAAAUAUAACUACAGUGGUACCUUGGUUCCUGAACAGCUUAGUUGUCAAACAAAUUGGCUCCCGAAUGCUGCAAACCCAGAAGUAGGAUGUAAGGGGGACUCCCUACAGGGAGCCAGCCCCCAUUAUCCUAACGUCCACCUCAUCAAGUACAGAGAGCACCAGUGGUUCUGAAGCAGCCAGAGGGGGAGGAAGAGACUCGGAGGGGGAGAGAAAACAGAGUGAGGAACAAUGGAAAAGCUCGGAGGUGGAGGGAUGCAGGCAGAUGCUUGGGGAUACUGCAGAGCCAGGGAACUGACUGCUGAGGGAGGAAACUGAAAGGGCAUCGCUCCUUCCGGGCGCCAGAAAUGAGGAGAGCACCGCAACGCAGGUCAAGGGGGUGGUAUUUUGGGGUGCCCAGACUACAUUGCUGGCGUAGGAACAGACAUACGCCAUUGCCGGAUUCUGAUUCGGGAUGAGAGGUCAUGUUUUAAGCUCUCUACACUGUAAAUAGAUAGCACAAUAAACUUCUUUGAAGACAAACUGGACUCAGGCGGAGUUACUCUAGAGUAGCCACGACGACCCUCUGACAUAAGUGUUCCGGUUUGCAAACGUUUUUUGGAAGCCGAAUGUCCGGUGUGGCUUCUGUGGCUUCCGAUUGAGUGCAGUAAACUCCUGCAGCCAAUCGGAAGCCACGCCUUGGUUUUUGAAUGGUUUCGGAAGUUGUACAGACUCCCGGAACGGAUUAAGUUUGAAAACCAAGGUGCCACUGUAUAGGCAUAGAGCAGGUGUGGGGAGCUCCCCCCCCCAGCCUGAAGGCCACAUUCCCUCAUGGGCAACUUCCCAGGGGCCACAUUCUAGCGGUGGUGAAUAGGACCAGAGGCAGCUAGGAUAUGGCCGGAGGCAAAUGGGGGAGGAGCAAUGGAUGUUGCUCCAACUUUGGUGUAGUAGGCAACAUUCAGCCAUGGAAAACCCAUAUUUUCUUCACCCACACUCACAAACACAACCCUCUGAAGCUGCACUGAGGAAGCAUAGACAAGAUCAACUUAAAAACCACACAGCAGGCUGCGCAAGCAGAACAGAAACUAAAAACACCGUGCCUGAGAGUUAACUCAGGCAGCUCCUCGUACAGCAGGCCAGGAGAGCCAAUACACUGCACUCUCCACACUGCAUCUAGGUAAGCAGAAGACACUAUUGCUUUGCGGACCCAUUUCCACCAGGAAGAAGCAUUUGAGAAGGGCAUGGGAGGGUGUGACCUGGGGAGAGGCGUGUGUGAGGAGGAGUCUGGCAGAGAGACCUGAGGGGCUACACGCAGGCCCCAGGACUGAGGUUGCUCAUCCCUGAAAAAGAGGAACAAGAACGUAUCCUUUUCACUGCACUUUGCAAAAUUCUGUAAUCUAAACCCUGAGAGAAGCAACGAGAGCACGAGAUUGCUUGUUAAUAUUUUAGAACCUGAACGACUGUGUCAGACACAAAAAUCACUUUCAGCUGUCAAAAUAUCCCAUGCAAUUUCCCAGAGCAUAAAAGCAGGUGGUCUGUCAGAUGUGAAAGGUGGUAAGAAAGGCUGCGGUAUUUACUCCUACCUUGUCAAAUAAAUUCUGUGCCAUAGUUGAAUUCCAUAUGUGCAGCACCCUGGAAUCUUGGAUAAUACACCAAAUAAAACUGGCCUAAUAUUGCAGCACUAACCACCGCUACACUGAAUCUUGCAGCUCCCAAGCCGAGUGGGAGUGUGGCUCCUCUUUGUAUAUUACUCAGUGCUAUGAUUUGAGUCUGUGUGGUGUAGUGGCUAAUGUUGGGCUGUGAGACCAGGGUUUAAAUCCCCAUACAGCCAUGAAGGUCACUGUGUCACCUUGAGCCAGUCACUGUCUCUUAGCCUAACCUAACACUCAGUGUUGUUGUGAGAAUAAAACGGGGAGGGGGAAAACAGAUAUGCAUGCCAUCUUGAACUCCUUGGGGGGUGGGGGGGAUGAUAUAAAUCAAAUAAAUAAUGUCUGAAGAAAUAAUGUCCAUUCUCACAGCUGUGGUCCAACUCAGAUGCAGAUUACAAGGUGUUAUUUAAAGGUCAAAAAAGAAAUAAUGUAACUAGUACAGUUUAGGGUGCAAACAUUGGUCCUUGGAAGGUGACCCGGGAGGCAUAGGAUAUUGGGGGGGGGGUCCUCCCUUUCCACAGAGACAAGUGCUCCAGUGGUUGUAAGGAGAUAAAAUGAGUGUAAGCAGGGUGUGUCAAGAGGCAAUCCCCUCCCACCUCCUGUCCUGGCCAGCGCAUGACUGACAUGGCUCUGGAGCGUUGUUCUGUCCAUUAUUUUUACCACUAGGAGGGGUGCCAUUUAAAUAAUAUGCCACGGGCACAGAAAUGCCUUGGGCCAUCUCUGCCAGGUGUUUGUGCUCUAGCUCUCUGCUUAUUCCAUGUAUAUUCAAUAGCAUACGAGGCUUGUGUUAAGUGAAGUCUGACCACAGGAACAAAUUACCUUGCCUUUAAGGCUAAUUUAAGCCUGAAGGAACUGGUUGUUUAGCAGGGAGUUGAUUGCACAUGUGGCUUCUCAGUCAAUAAUUAUGACUUCUGACAAUUUCUGGAAUCUCCCCAGGACCAGCAGCAUUCCAGAGCAGAGGUGAAGGCAGGGGCGAAUUCCUUCCUCUCCCUUUUUCUCCAGAACCCCAUGGAAAAAUUCUUUCGGAAGAAUGCCUUGCUCUCCACAAGUACUUUAUGGCUGAUAUUUCAUAUGAAAGAAGCAAUCAGGUAGCAUGCAGAGUUCUACUUGAGCGUGAAUAAUAUACCACAUCCUCUGUUCCCAGAAGCAUGAGGGUUUCCUGUUGAUUUUAGUAAGAGGUGAAUUUUACUUGCUUUCACAUCUUCAUUGUGAGCUGAAGGUGAGGAAGUUUUGAGAAAACCUGCUCAAAAACCCAGCUUAUGGAAACAGAAUCUAUUAUUACAACCCAGACCUUUAGAUCGUCCUCUGUUUGGUAUCACAUCACUAAGGUGAAGAAGCUCACAAUAUAUUUUUUUUUAAAGGAAAAUCAUUACCAUUUGGGGGCUUACAAGAAAUUGUGGGAAGGUGGAAGAUGAAUGAUGGAAAAAUUAAUGUAAUACCCUGAGACUCCUAAGUUCCAGGUCUGUUAUUUAUUGUUUACUUAUAUGCUUUAUUUAUGUCCUGCUUUUCCUCCAACAAGCUCAAGGCAGCAUACAUAGUUAUCCCCUGUAGGUUAGAGUUAAGGUUGGGGACUGGUGAAUUUUAUGAAUGAGUGUAUAUUUGAGAAUGGAUCUCCCCAGGUCUUGUCUGGCACUCUAAUUAGGAGUUGCCAUCCAUGGGAUGGUCCAUGGGGUCACGAAGAGUCGGACACGACUAAACAACAACAUUUUUGAACCUGUGGGCAUAUUUCAUAUUUUUCAUCAAUCACAAAAUGUCUGCAGUAGGGGUGUGACCUGUCCAUACAUCAUUCUGCUUUGUUCUGUGCUGCUUCUCUAACAAUACUGCAUUAUCGUCCGCUGGAGAGGCACUCUUGGACUAUAGUGCAACAAAAGUGGGACACACACACACACACACACAAACCACACGACAUGCACUGAUUAGAACUUAGCACUAUGUUUGCCCCCAAACCUUUGCAUGAACAGUGUUGAAAUCAAGGUCACAUAUAUACCACCAACCUGAUAACAUCAUGUGCAUAAAUCAUCACAAAUGCAGAAUAAAAAGGACAUUUCACGUAGAUGCACUGAUCAUCGCCAGCUUUCUCGCUGAAGAAGCUUUUCGCUGAAGAAGCUUUCCGCUGUAGUGACAGUACCAUGUCCUCACAAAAAUGGUAGGCACAUCCUUUGACUGCAGAAAAGUUCAAAGCCUGGGCAAAUGCCCACCAGUCAUAUCUUACCUUUAGUCAAGUGCACUUGUGCUCAUUAACGAAGCUAAGAUAUUGUGUUUCACUGCCAUAUUUACUCAUAAUACAUAAUCUGGAUUAUAUCUGCUCACUUUAUUGCUCCUUCCGUUGAACUUUCUACUUACAGAAGUUCCUGUUUAAAUAAGGAACAAACAGUCCAGAGCCCAGAUGCUGUAACUCGCUGCAUCUCUCCUAGAUUUUCUGGCUCUUCUCGCAAAGGACUGGUUCAUGUGUUCAACUCAGUGGGGUGUCACCUUUUAAUUUGCGAGAGCUCUCCAUUCUUGUGAGUUGUGAAGUAAGAGCUCACAGCUCAUGAGUUUCAGACACAGUAAAGUCUGUGAUUUUGGAUACUAUAUGGAAAUCAUGAAAAAUGGCAUGGCUGAGACUUAUUCAUCUAUCAACUCACAUAUUACUUUGCUCAUGCAAAUGAAAAAAUCAUGUGCAUAAAAAAGUGGACACACACACACACACGUUUGGCAAAAGACAGCUGCAACUAAUGCCACAAUGGGACUUGACUUAUUUUCAAGACAAAAACAAGGAAGGGUUUCCCAGGAUGGCAUCUGCAAAAUACAGUAAAAAACCAAUAAUGUAAACAAUAAUAUUAAGAAGAAAUAGAAAAGACUUAUUAAAUAUAAAAUAACAUAUGGUAGAUAUAAUAGUUAAAAAACUGAAUAUAAAACACAACUUUAAAUGCCUUGGAAAAUAAAAAAAGUUUUUUCCUGGUGCCAGAAUCACAAAAUAAGUGGAUGCCAAGUAUCUCCCUCUCUUUUGCCAUUCACUAUAAUUGUAAUCGCAGGACAGGCGAUAGGGAUAAGAAACCUCAGGCCUGGGGGCCCAAUGUGUCAAUCCAGGACUUUCUAUAUGGCCCUCAAGACUCUCCCAAGACCAGCCCACUCACUCCACCUGUUCUCUGCCCUCAUCAAGUGCCUUUGCCUCUUGCUUGCUUGGAUGUGUUUAUGUACACAAGUCUUUGCUUCUCUCCAGCCCAUGACUGUGCUGUAUGGAG